GACGAAGGAUCCAAGCGUUAUCCGGAUUUAUUGGGUUUAAAGGGUGCGUAGGCGGAUUGAUAAGUCAGUGGUGAAAGCCUGCAGCUUAACUGCAGAACUGCCAUUGAUACUGUCGAUCUUGAAUAUGGUUGAUGUGGGCGGAAUAUGACAUGUAGCGGUGAAAUGCUUAGAUAUGUCAUAGAACACCGAUUGCGAAGGCAGCUCACAAAGCCAUUAUUGACGCUGAGGCACGAAAGCGUGGGGAUCAAACAGG
rnacentral:rRNA from 1 species